AAGUCGUAACAAGGUAUCCGUAGGUGAACCUGCGGAUGGAUCAUUACCAAUUUUAUAUAUUAGUGUGUAUAUCUGUGACUCUGUUGCAGGUACUACACUACUACUAUUAUGUAAAUGUUGAACUAGAUCAAUCAGUGUGGAUUGCUUGGGAAAGGCGAUGUAACUAUAUUAUAUCUCCGGACAGGCAAGCCCCACACUGGUAACCCUUUUCAAUUAUACAAUUCGUACAUACUACAAAUACAAACAAAUUCUAUUAAUAGGACUUAUUAAUGGGCUGAGUGGGUAAAAUCCUCGGCUCUAUAAAUUUAUAACAAAAUACAACUUUCAGCAAUGGAUCUCUAGGCUCUC
rnacentral:misc_RNA from 1 species